UACGUAGGGCGCAAGCGUUGUCCGGAAUUAUUGGGCGUAAAGAGCUCGUAGGCGGUCUGUCGCGUCUGUUGUGAAAACUCGAGGCUCAACCUCGGGCUUGCAGUGGAUACGGGCAGACUAGAGUGCGGGUAGGGGAGACUGGAAUUCCUGGUGUAGCGGUGGAAUGCGCAGAUAUCAGGAGGAACACCGAUGGCGAAGGCAGGUCUCUGGGCCG
rnacentral:rRNA from 1 species